rnacentral:rRNA from 1 species
GACCUCGCGCUAAAAGAUGAGCCUGCGUCGGAUUAGUUAGUUGGUGGGGUAAUAGCCCACCAAGACGAUGAUCCGUAGCUGGUCUGAGAGGAUGAUCAGCCACACUGGGACUGAGACACGGCCCAGACUCCUAUGGGAGGCAGCAGUGGGGAAUAUUGGACAAUGGGGGAAACCCUGAUCCAGCAAUGCCGCGUGUGUGAAGAAGGCCUUCGGGUUGUAAAGCACUUUCAGCAGGAAAGAAAGUCUUAAAGUUAAUACCUUUAAGAGUUGACGUUACCUGCAGAAGAAGCACUGGCUAACUCUGUGCCAGCAGCCGCGGUAAUACAGAGAGUGCAAGCGUUAAUCGGAAUUACUGGGCGUAAAGCGCGCGUAGGUGGAUAUUAAAGUCGGGUGUGAAAGCCCCGAGCUUAACUCGGGAAUUGCGUUCGAUACUGAGUAUCUAGAGUAUAGUAGAGGGAAGUGGAAUUUCCGGUGUAGCGGUGAAAUGCGUAGAUAUCGGAAGGAACACCAGUGGCGAAGGCGGCUUCCUGGACUAAUACUGACACUGAGGUGCGAAAGCGUAGGGAGCAAACAGGAUUAGAGACCCUGGUAGUCCACGCUGUCAACGAUGAGAACUAGCUGUUAGAAAACUUGUUUUCUGGUAGCGAAGCUAACGCGUUAAGUUCUCCGCCUGGGGAGUACGACCGCAAGGUUAAAACUCAAAGAAAUUGACGGGGGCCCGCACAAGCGGUGGAGCAUGUGGUUUAAUUCGAUGCAACACGAAAAACCUUACCUACCCUUGACAUCCUCGGAACUUGUCAGAGAUGACUUGGUGCCUUCGGGAACCGAGUGACAGGUGCUGCAUGGCUGUCGUCAGCUCGUGCCGUGAGAUGUUGGGUUAAGUCCCGUAACGAGCGCAACCCUUGUCCUUAGUUGCCAGCGGUUCGGCCGGGAACUCUAAGGAGACUGCCGGUGAUAAACCGGAGGAAGGUGAGGAUGAUGUCAAGUCAUCAUGGCCCUUAUGGGUAGGGCUACACACGUGCUACAAUGGGCAGUACAGAGGGUUGCCAAAUCGUGAGGUGGAGCUAAUCCCAGAAAGCUGCUCGUAGUCCGGAUUGGAGUCUGCAACUCGACUCUAUGAAGCUGGAAUCGCUAGUAAUCGCGAAUCAGAAUGUCGCGGUGAAUACGUUCUCGGGCCUUGUACACACCGCCCGUCACACCAUGGGAGUG